rnacentral:rRNA from 1 species
UACGGGGGGGGCAAGCGUUGUUCGGAAUUACUGGGCGUAAAGGGCUCGUAGGUGGCCAACUAAGUCGGACGUGAAAUCCCUCGGCUUAACCGGGGAACUGCGUCCGAUACUGGUUGGCUUGAAUCCGGGAGAGGGAUGUGGAAUUCCAGGUGUAGCGGUGAAGUGCGUAGAUAUCUGGAGGAACAUCGGUGGCGAAGGCGGCAUCCUGGACCGGUAUUGACGCUGAGGCGCGAAAGCCAGGGGAGCAAACGGG